GUGGGGAUGGCGAAGUGGUUAACGCGCUCGGCUGCAACCCGGGUAUUCGUGGGUUCAAUUCCCACUCCCCACU
rnacentral:tRNA from 1 species